CAGUAGCCGCGGUAAUACAAAGGGUGCAAGCGUUAAUCGGAAUUACUGGGCGUAAAGCGUGCGUAGGCGGUGAGUUAAGUCUGCUGUGAAAUCCCCGGGCUCAACCUGGGAAUGGCAGUGGAUACUGGCUCGCUAGAGUGUGUCAGAGGAUGGUGGAAUUCCCGGUGUAGCGGUGAAAUGCGUAGAGAUCGGGAGGAACAUCAGUGGCGAAGGCGGCCAUCUGGGACAACACUGACGCUGAGGCACGAAAGCGUGGGGAGCAAACAGGAUUAGAUACCCCUGUAGUCCCUGUCUCUUAUAC
rnacentral:rRNA from 1 species